CACACACACACACACACACACACACAGCUUCGCUCAUCCGGCCCCCUUUGCCAAUGCACCACCUCUCCUCGUCCAUGGAGGUCUAGGCGGGGAGCUCCGUGCGGGAGCAGCGAUGGACGGCACCAUCAAGCGACUGUCCAGUUUGGCCGAUGUACAUAGCAGAGGGGCAUUGCUGGCACGUGAUGGCGUAUAUAACAUCGGUGGAUGUGCAGAAUUCCCCCGGGGUAAAGGAUAUUGACUUUUGAAGGAGAUGCUAAAAUGAGAAGCUAUGACCAAGUUCUGUCAUAGACCAGGCAGUGCCCUGAGUGAUCCAGAAGCUGGUGCUUCCUUAAAAUGCCUGCAAGGUGUGAUCAUCCAACAGUUCCCCUUUCAGGAAGAUGAUUGCCAUAUUACACGCCUCCAGCCUACUCCCUACACUGAGGUAUCACCCUGUGUGGUGUUUGAGGAGGGAGGAACUGAAGAGAGACUCAGUAUUUGCUGGGCAGAAGAUGGCCCACUCUUCAGUUGAUCUGCCUAAGACUGUGAAGUUGGAGAUGAGGAAGAUCUCUGUCUCAAGGAAAAAGAAGCACAAACAGUUCCAUCAGCACAAUCCCAUUUUACCACCUCUCCGUAAGAUCUGUAUCAAUCUGCUGCAUUGUAAACUCUUUUGGGCAGACAUUGUAUGCUGCUCUUUAAAGCUCUGAUGACAUGAUAUAAAUUGGAAAGUAAAGAAUCAUUCUUUCUUGAUGUAAAUGCUAAGAUGAGAAGCAAUAGUUGGGGGAAGAUGUCGGUCGGCCAGUGUCCUGAGGAAUUUGGUGCCUCCUUAGAAUGCCUGGAGCAACAUAAUCAUCUUGUAUUUACGUUUUCAGGUAGAUGGCAACUCUAUUCCAUGCUUUACCCUGAGCUUUUACUGACCCCUCCCUGCACAAAAGAAAGAUGUACCCGCACAGUAGAUCUCCUGUACUCACUGACUGGAAGAGGGUCUGCUCUAAAUUAAAUAGUAGUAAACUCCUUUGCCAAAGCAGUAACUGAGGCUUGGUCUACACUGGGGGGGAUCGAUCUAAGUUACGCAACUUCAGCUACGUGACUAAUGUAGCUGAAGUCAACGUACUUAGACCUACUCACCGCAUGUCUUCACUGCGGUGAGUCGGCUGCUGCCGCUCCACUGUUGACUCUGCCUGUUCUUGUCGCGGUGGCAGAGUACAGGAGUCGAUGGGAGAGCGCUAGGGGGUCGAUUUAUCGCAUCUAGACUAGAUGUGAUAAAUCAACCCCUGCUGGAUCGAUCACUGCCCACUGAUCCGACAGGUAGUGUAAACAUACCCUGAGUCUUUGAAUCACUCUGCAAAUAUGUUAAGACUUUCCCCUUCCACUGAAGUGCAGUGAUAGGGGAGAAUAGGACAAUCACUAACUAGAUAGAAGCAGGAUGAAGUCAGGAUUACGGGAAAGGUGUAUUUGCAUUGCAAGAGAAUGUUAACGUGAGGAGGAAUGGUUGGAGCUGGUUGUUGGUCAGAAAAUGCCCAGGGUGAGAGAGAAUGUAGUUCUUCCUUACAAUGACUGCAGAGAAUAUAUUUUUAUGUGUUUAUCUUUUUAGAAAUGUGGUAACCAUAUUGUCUACACCCAAAGCCCUGCACAAACUUGGACAUGCACCCUCCCCAAUAUACAUACAGAUAGAGAAGUGAAGAAAUCCCAAUACUCACUCAGGGUUAGAGAGUCCAGUCUGUUUGAGGAAAUUUUCAUAAAUCGCCCAGAACUGAGCCUCGGGGCGUACAGGGUCAGGCAAGGGAGAGUCACUGAUCAAGUGACGCCAUGCUGGAGUAUUCAUCCUAAAAUAACAUGAAUGGAAAGGAAAUAGGAGUAUCAGGAAAGGAAUUCUCUCCUGUAUCUCCUGCCUCCUCAUAUACCAUAAUUUACAUUAAUAACACUGAAUGAUCCCAUGGCCUGGUAAAAUCAAUGUUAAUGUGACUUUCUUCCAUCCUCUAAUAAAAUCUCUAUUGUUU